UAUGACCAUAUCACUUUGAAACACUGGUUCUUGUCUGAUCACUGAGGUUAAGCAAUGUUCAGCCUGGUCAGUACCUAGAUGGGCAACUGCCUGGGAAAUACUGGGUGCUGUAAG